AUGGCGAGCCCCAAGCUCAGAAAGCUGCGCCGCCCGCCUAUGGAACGGCUCCAACGGGAUCCAGACAUCCCCGCACUGGAGCCGUCAUCCCAGCAUCGUCGCCGGCCCCACGGCUCCACCGCGUCGCCCCCUUCCCAUGGCCGCCUGAGCUUCUUCCCUGCUUCUUCUCUAGGAAGGCUCGAGCUCCCGCAACCACAGCACAAGGGAGGAACCCCAACACCCGCGCCUUCGGCCGCCUUGCGUCAGACGCCCCUGCCUCUUCGUCCCUGA
rnacentral:rRNA from 1 species